rnacentral:rRNA from 1 species
ACAAACCGGAGGAAGGUGGGGAUGACGUCAAGUCAUCAUGGCCUUACGGCCUGGGCUACACACGUGCUACGAAUGGUCGGUACAAAGGGUUGCCAAGCCGCGAGGUGGAGCUAAUCCCAUAAAACCGAUCGUAGUCCGGAUCGCAGUCUGCAACUCGACUGCGUGAAGUCGGAAUCGCUAGUAAUCGUGAAUCAGAAUGUCACGGUGAAUACGUUCCCGGGCCUU